GACAGAGGGUGCAAGCGUUGUUCGGAAUUAUUGGGCGUAAAGGGAGUGUAGGCGGUCCAUUAAGUCUUCUGUGAAAUCUACGGGCUUAGCCUGUAACGUGCAGAGGAAACUGGUGGACUUGAGUGUCGGAGAGGAUAGGGGAAUACCCGGUGUAGAGGUGAAAUUCGUAGAGAUCGGGUGGAACACCAGUGGCGAAGGCGCCUAUCUGGCUGACAACUGACGCUGAGACUCGAAAGCAUGGGGAGCAAACAGG
rnacentral:rRNA from 1 species